rnacentral:rRNA from 1 species
AUUGAACGCUGGCGGCAUGCCUUACACAUGCAAGUCGAACGGUAACGCGGGGCAACCUGGCGACGAGUGGCGAACGGGUGAGUAAUGCAUCGGAACGUGCCUGGUAGUGGGGGAUAACUGCUCGAAAGAGCAGCUAAUACCGCAUACGACCUGAGGGUGAAAGGGGGGAUCGCAAGACCUCUCGCUAUCAGAGCGGCCGAUGUCGGAUUAGCUAGUUGGUGGGGUAAAGGCCCACCAAGGCGACGAUCCGUAGCUGGUCUGAGAGGACGACCAGCCACACUGGGACUGGGACACGGCCCAGACUCCUACGGGAGGCAGCAGUGGGGAAUUUUGGACAAUGGACGCAAGUCUGAUCCAGCCAUGCCGCGUGCGGGAAGAAGGCCUUCGGGUUGUAAACCGCUUUUGUCAGGGAAGAAAUCUUCUGGGCUAAUACCCUGGGAGGAUGACGGUACCUGAAGAAUAAGCACCGGCUAACUACGUGCCAGCCGCCGCCGUAACAC